UAGACACGAAAUUAAUAGGGAAUUUGGUUUAAAUCCAAUACUGUUCCCGCAACUGUAAACUUAGUCACUUUUUUUUAUAAGUGAUGGUUACUGUUAAAUCUUUAAUACCACUGUUCUGUAGAAUGGGAAGGUAAACAGUAAUACGUGAGUCAGGAGACCUGCCAUAAGAAUU
rnacentral:ncRNA from 1 species